AGCUCCAUUUUUUUGAGGGCCCUUUACACAGCUCAAGGUCUGGGUCCCAGGGUCCACCUUCAUGUUCCACCAAUGAGUUUGUUCACAGGGAGUGGAGUGUGUGUGUGGGGGAGGUCCUGAUGUGUGUAAGGAAUGCAUUGUGUGAAUCUGUGUUUGUAUGUGUAAGGGCUGCAAGAUGAGUUUGUGUAUGUAUGGGAUGCAG